GCAGGGGGGUAAUCUCAACAGUGUUGAAAAAAGACCCUUCUUUGUGCUUGGUGAUAAAUAAAAGCCCCUCAGGUCUCUCAACGGAAAUUGUCUCGGUAGCUAAUAAAAGCAGCUGACGUAUUGAGAGGAUGAACAAGGAUAAAAUGCCAAAGGCAGCAGAGCCUGGGGUUUGCAAUACAUUUAUAUUUCAGAAAAGAAAAAAAAAAAAAAAAAGGAAGAAAGAAAGAAGCAAAUUGCUACUAAACUAUGCUCUGUGGAAGUGUAGAUGGUGCUGCACAGCUUUCUCAGGACUGGUACAGCCACAUAGCUUUUAGGAAGGGAUCACAUUCACUUCUCCCACAGUGAACACCAUGUACUUGCUACUGUGGCAAUGUUCCUGAGCUGAAUAAGGUUAAAAAACAAACUUGGUUCACAAAGAAAAGUACUGAAUUAUUCUCACUCUCUCAUAUCAUAAUUAGAGUACAUAAGUUAGGCAGGUUUUCCCACCCAGUCCUGUGCUGUGAGACUUCAGAAUACACAGAGGUGCACAACCGACUAUAAAUAACAUUUCCGAUUAACUUAAAAAUAGAUACAAAAUACAUAUUGCUCUUAAAAGAAGGAAGAAACAUGUCCAAGCACUCAGCCUCACACUAAACUGUAACUUCAUCUGUGCCGACUUUCUAAGCUCACACUGCUAAGGAUCAGAGCAGAUCACAGUGGCAACAUCUCCUUCCAAAGGUCACUUCUCUAUUGCAGCCUUGGGAAGAAUUGCUGCAAACUGUCCAGGCCUCUAAGCCUGGCACACAGAACAACAGCUCUAUUGCCCCUCUGUGCUCUACCCUUGCUGAAAGGCUGGCUGCUGCAUAGUUUUGAGCGCAAUGCCCAAACACACUGGAGUCACUCGGGUCUCUGCACCUUUCUCCUUUCAGGAAUAACCUCACCUCUCCCACAACAGCCACCCUGCACGCUCUGCUGGGAAAGGCUGUCCGCUUUGUUUCGGUGAAAAAGCAGCACUGGAGCCCCCUCACAGCUCAGCACUACGAGGAGGAGGAGGAGGAGGAACCUGUGGGUAUACAGGGGUAUUGUUCAGUAAGUACCUCCUUUCAAUUGUAACUCGCACCAUUUUCAUAGGGAAAAAAGAAAAAAAA
ensembl:lncRNA